AGAAGGAAGUAAUGGGCAGAAAAUGCCCUAAGACAGGAUCAUCGGCAGGUGUGGGGGGAUGGUGGGGACCUGCACCAGGCACAUUAGACCCCUGGUGAGUUUUGCUCGCAUGGAAUCCAAAACUCUAUAUUCCAACAAGUGUUUGCUGAGCAUCUACUUGCACUCUGACCUCACACUAGGAAUCUUGGAAGGUACAAAAUGAGGACGCCUCAGCCCCUGCUUCUUCAGAGCUGCAGUACAAGUUCAUACCACCUACAUUGAGAAUCAGGAAGUGCCGUGGCUGGUCUCCAAGAAGGCCCCCAAUGAACCAAUAACCCGCUUCUCACCUGGCGUUCACUGUGUGUGCAGUCCUCUCUCCUAUAGCUCCAGGUUGCUGUGUGAGACCACAGUGCACAGCAGACCCUUCUGAAAUGAGGUUGUACAAACUGCCACUUCCGUCUUAGGGGCGACUUGCUUUCUGGUUGUCUCUCCUUCUGGGAGUUCAGCGGCCACAGGAAGAAGUCUAGGCCAUGCUGCUGGAGAAGAGAGACCCAGGAGGGUGAGAGGCCACCUGGAGAAGAGAGACCCAGGAGGGUGAGAGGCCACCUGGAGGAGAGACACCCAGGAGGGUGAGAGGUUGCCUGGAGGAGAGAGACCCGGGAGGGUGAGAGGCUGCCUGGAGGGGAACGGAAGCCAAACUCCACCUGCCAGCCCUCUGAGUCAGCCUUCUUGCCAGCAGGAGAAGAUGCCAGAGCUGGGAAGGCCUGGCUGUACACUUGCUGUGAUCUUCACCCAGGGUUUAGCCCCUGGCUCACUUGAGUUUGGCUUUUCCACCUCUCUCCAACCGCUCCUGGGAAGCCGCCUUGGCCAGAAUCACCGCUGUCCCCAGGUGACCGCCUCCACCCUGUGCUCUGGGAUGCACCUCCUGGCUCGGCCUCAGCAGACCCCCUGCCCCUUUUGUUUUUCCUCCUCCUAUCCCGGGACUGGUCUCUUUUCUCCCCAUAUUCAGAUAAUUUCAGGCACCGUCAGGUCAAGGUGACUAAAGCUGGAUGAUUCCGUGGGAUUAUUUCAGAGGAUAUUAAACCUUGGGUGGGUGGUUGGAUUCUAGUAGUUUCAGUUAUCUCCCAAUCAGGAAGUGACUGGCUGCCAGCUCUCGCCUUUACAUUCUUCAUAACCACUCAUGAUAAUGCAAUCCCGCACCUGUCCUUUCUGCACCUUGUGACAGGUGCCCAGGUAAUGGUGGCCUGCCUUAGCUUUGCUGAGGUAAAGGGCUGCCCGACGUACCCCCACAGCAGGGGCCUUGGUUCCACCCGGUCUGAUCUCAUCUGCUCGUCCAACUUGCAUGUGGUUCCCAGUAACCCCUGCUCAGCCCCUCCCUGCUCCGUUGCUUCCCCCGCUCAGGAGCUUCUGAUCCUCUUCAGUUCCAGAUCAGUUUUUCCUUCCCCAAAUGGAUGGUUCCUUGCAAUAUACUGACUGUAGCUGUUUCAUCAGAUACAAAGGUCCUCCCAUUUUUCAAGGAAGGUUCUGCAUUUGGGGCUGAAGUUAUGGAUAUGUCAACUAGUCUCGAUGCCAAUGUCCUCACCUUUUUUCGGGGGUCUUAUUGCUUCUGGCGAUGUCCCUAUCUUAUGCCCUGAUUCUGUUUUAGGCCAGCUUCAAGCAGGGUAAUUCUGUUACCUGUUUCCUUCCCUCCCUCCCUGUUCUCAUCUUUUCUUCUCUCUCUCUUCCUCCUCUGUGUUAAUGAGAGCUUCUCUCUCUCUCUCUCUCUCUUCCUCCCCCCCUCUCCCUCCCUUCCUCUGUCUCCCUCCCUCCCUUCCUCUCUGUCUCUCUUUUCCUCUCUCUCCCUCUUGCUCUUUCCCUCCCUCCAUUUCUGUUUCUCUCUCUCCCUGCCUCUCUCUCUUCUUGUUUCUCCUCUUUCUUCCCCACCCUUUCCCUCUCUCCCUUUCUCUCUCGCCCAUCUGUGUUAAUGAGAGCUGGAAGCAGACAUAUGGAAGCAUGACACUAUGAGUGUCCACCCUCAGGCGCAGAACAGGAGGCUGUCUCCCAUCUCUACCCAGCCCCAGGAGGGCAGGUUUCCCCACACUGUAGAAAAUUGCAAAACAAGCCCGAAGUGUCUGAGGGCUUGCACGGCAUUCCGUCAUGAUAUGCUGAAAACCUGGUUACUUAUAAAGCAAUUUGCUCCUGCAGGCUGGUUUGAGAUUAAAAUGGUAAUUAUCUUGCAAAUGACUGUAACUGUCUUUCAUAAAUGUGGCAAUGUUUGAGAUGUGACUAACUGCGGUCUGCAGGAUAAUGGGCUUAAUAAACGAUAUAUUUAGUGUAUUGUCAGGGAACAGAGCCUUAGUAGUUGGAGACGGGACAAUACUAUAAUUUCAGCGAGCUAGAGUCCAUUCUUCUCCCCAGCCAUGGUCCCCCACCCCCCUUCAAUAGCAUGUGCUCAUCAUUUUUUUCUUAAUAGGACAUUUUUCCUUAGGAUAAUUUGCAAAUUGCUAAUCUGUUAUCAUCUCUCAUUUCUUUCCUCCUUAAAGUUUUAGUUUCCUUGGUUGCCUUGCACAAAUGCAAGGGAAUAACCUUACUUGCUGCAGAUGGGCAGGGGGCUGUGGUAACAACACAGCAGAGACACAUCCUGAGCAGGCACAGUGGGGACAGGAGCCAUAGUCAGGGUAUCAGGUAGGAGAAACCGAAGACUCUCCUUUCUCUUUCCUCGCAGGAAAAUAAA
rnacentral:lncRNA from 1 species